UACAGAGGGGGCAAGCGUUGUUCGGAAUUACUGGGCGUAAAGGGCGCGUAGGCGGCCUGCUAAGUCGAACGUGAAAUCCCCGGGCUCAACCCGGGAACUGCGUCCGAUACUGGUAGGCUUGAAUUCGGGAGAGGGAUGCGGAAUUCCAGGUGUAGCGGUGAAAUGCGUAGAUAUCUGGAGGAACACCGAGGGCGAAGGCGGCAACCGGGACCAACAUUGACACUGAGGCGCGAAAGCCAGGGGAGCAAACGGG
rnacentral:rRNA from 1 species